rnacentral:rRNA from 1 species
CAAUAGCGUAUAUUAAAGUUGUUGCAGUUAAAAAGCUCGUAGUUGGAUUUCUGGCGGGAGUCCGGGUCGGCCUUAACGGGUUGCACUGUUGUGACGUCUCGCCGUUUCGAGGGGAAUGGGCUCGCUAUUAGGUUAGUGUGUUCGGGAACCUCGUCGUUUACUGUGAAAAAAUUAGAGUGUUCAAAGCAGGCCUUUGCUGUGAAUACAUUAGCAUGGAAUAAUAAGAUAGGACUGUAGUGCUAUUUUGUUGGUUUGCGUACUAUGGUAAUGAUUAAUUAGGGAGUAGUUGGGGGUUAGGUUCAUAUUCAAUUAGUUCAGAGGUGGAAAUUACUUUGGUAGUUUAUUGGAAGGAAUGAACUAACUGCGAAAGACAUUUACCUAA